CCCUUAGAUGUCCUGGGCUGCACGCGCGCUACACUGAUGUGUCCAGUAAGCACCUAACCUCUUCCGAAAGGAACGGGUAACCUUUGCAAAGCACAUCGUGAUGGGGAUAGAUUAUUGCAAUUAUUAGUCUUGAACGAGGAUUUCCUAGUAAGCACAAGUCAUCAGCUUGUGUUGAUUACGUCCCUGCCCUUUGUACACACCGCCCGUCGCUCCUACCGAUUGAAUGUUCCGGUGAGCUCUUCGGACUGCGCGGUCUGCAGUUUCUGCGUUCCGUGCGGAAAGUUGCGCAAACCUUAACAUUUAGAGGAAGGAGAAGUCGUAACA
rnacentral:rRNA from 1 species